UGCUAAUUUUGAGAAGUAGACCUGAGGCCUUUAGCAGGAAAUAGAAAUGUAGGGAUGGACAAGGAGUCCCUGGCCUCUGUCUGGAUCACAGUCCACUUAAAUGCUUAUAGAAAUGCAGGGUUUGGGGCAUUUUAACUUUUAUGAUGCUUGAGAUAUGAAGAAACUGCCAUUAUAUACUUUGAAAAAAAACAGGCACAGUGGUACUCUGUUCCAAAGAUACUUUUGUAGACAGUGAAUGAUUUAUUAUUCCAUAUGACAUGCCCAGACCCUGAGUAAAGUUGCAUUUGAGCAGAUCACUUUAUUUUAUAUAACACGUAUACAAGCCGAGAUUUGCCCCCAAGAGGAUCAAAGGCAAGAAGCUGCGACUGAUCCAUUUGUGGUGUCACGCCGGCUCAUCUUGUGGCUCAUUCUGUUGCCAUUUGGAGGUAAUAUGGGGGACAGAGUGUUUUGAAUGAGAUUUACUUUGUAGAUUCCACCCCCCCCCCCCAAAUGUUUAUCCUUGUAUGAAGGUCAGAAAGCAUCCAUGAGUUUUUUCAGGGGCUUAAAAUAUUUUUUCCAUGUUUUUCCUUUAUCUCUAUUUUAAUAGGUAAUGUGCAUAGCACUUAAGAAAGCACAGACAAUAUUUAAGUGUAUUCACUGAGCAGCAAGUUAACCUCCCACCCCUGUCCCCCAACCAACCUCUGUUAUCAGCUGCGUUUCUCCUACCAGAAAUGACCUGCACACACACAAACAUGCGUACACACGGGUGUGAAUGUGUGUGUCUACAUACACGCUAAAGGACGUGACUGAAACAUGCUCCAUCUACUGUUCUGAGUCUUACAUUAUUUACCUGAACAUAUUUCUUUGGGAUUGAGUUGAACUACUAAAUAAAUUAGCCCAACUAGGAAACUCCCUUCUGUGAACUACAGAGUAGCAGCCAGCAGGAGCCCGGUUUGCUUUGCUUGGGACACACUUCGAUUGCUGAAGGAAAAACUCUUGCGCACUUACUCCCCCAGUUUCUUGUAGCUUUCUUCUUCAGCUCCCUUCUGGUAUUAACUUCCAUUUCCUUAUGUUUGUUCAAUGUCUUUCAUCUUUCCUUUUUUUCGCUUCCAUGACUCUGUGCUUCUCUCUCUUUUCUCUUGCAUACACUCCCUCUCUGUUUCGCCUUGGCCCCCUAAGAGCCGUUCUUGCUUCCUCUGACGUGUUCUCAUUUCUUUCUGGCGACCUUUCUUCUCCCUAAAGAAUUAGUCUGGCUUUGCAUGAGGCAGCCCCUUCAUGUCAGUGAUUGACACAACAUGUUCUUUUUGGCAAUUUAAGGUUUUCCUUUUUGGUAAAAUAUAUUAGUUCAAGAGGGUUCUGCUUGGCACUGGUGUUAUUUCUGGUCUGCAGGGAAGUGUUGCUCAUCCUUCCAGCUUUCCAGCUGGGUGGAACAGAAAGAGGUUGAAGUGACUUGUCCAGCAUGUCAGGAAGGAAGUCAGCAAUUAGGCGAAAUCAGGAUUCGUGGUCAUCCUGUCCCCCUUAUGCCAACAACAAGCAGUUGUCUAUGAGAGACAGAGAGACAGAGAGAAGGGAGAAGCGAAUAGUCAUAGGAGCAAAAAGAAGGGGAGAUGAGAAACACUGAAAACACGUGAGAAAAUGGAAGUUCAUAAUGGAAGGGAGCUUCUGCAGGCAGGCCCAGCAGCCAGAAGGAGGUUGCUGCAGAUGCAGAGGACUCUGUGUGCCUGUAAUCCUUGAGGACGAAGGAUUUCCUCUCCCUCUGUCCUUGCACAGACCCUGCAUUCACACAUCAGUUACAAGUGCCGCCUUCGUGGGCCCAGGGGCCAAGAGCGUUGCGGACCAGAGGAGAAGGGGCUUGUUGGUGGAAAGGGGCCGGAUAGGAGAAGCAGGACCUGGGGCAGGAGAGAAGUCUGAGAUGGGUCCCCAGUGCUCAGGACAGAGCCCGGCACACAUCCCAGGAGACCCAGUCUUCCAGCCACCCCAACCAAGGUGCCAGACAUGUGAGUGAAGCUGUCCUGGAUGUUCCAGACCAGCCUAUUUGCCAGCUGAGUACCACUGAGUGACCUCCGCCAAUGCCAUGAGGAGCAGAAGAAUCAUGCAGCUGAGCUCUGCUUGCAUUCCUGGCUGUGAAACAUGAUAAAAUUGUUGUCCUUUUAGGCCACUAGGUUUGGAGGAGGUUUUUCAUGCAGUAAUCAUAACAGGAAUACUCUACUCGAAAACCCCAAGGCUGGUUGAACCCAAUCAUCUUCCUUCUGUGUUCCUAUUCUGGAGUAGCUGGAGAAAAUCACAAAGUAGGGAUGACUGGCUUUGUUUUAAAAUUCAAACAGACGCCAUGCCUAAUCACCCUGCUAUGCUUGUCUGGUGAGCUUGCUGCUUCCAGAUUCAUCUAUUUCAUACAUUUCCUCUUGCCUCAAAUCCAGGCAGCUGGAUAUAUGAGUCUGUAGUUCAGGGGAAAGGUUGAGGAUAAAGAUAAAAUUUUGAGAGUCACCAGAGACUAACUGACAUUUGAAGCUAUGAAUCUGGAUGAUAUCACUAGGCUGGAGUGUGAAUGGGGAAGAGAAGGGAGUCAAGGACCAGUCCUCCAGCUCUCCAAGGUUUAGGGAUCCAGAAGAGGAAGCCCACAACGUGGAUCGAGAAAGAUGGCCAUGGGGUUGGAGUGAAACCUGGGAAGGAUAGUAUUCCAAAGACCAAGAGAUAAGAGAGAUUCAGAGGCAAGUCCUUGAGUAGGUGAAAGGAGAUAAGGGAAAGAAUGGACAGGCGGGAUUGGUCUCUGACACCUGGAGCUUCCUCCACGGCAAUAGACAGUGACAGGGAGAAGGUGUGUGCACACGCUCCUGGAUUCUAGGUUAGAUGGCAGUGGGGUGAGGGCACUCCCCAUUAAUGCUGUUGACUUUCUCUGCGAAAGUGUGCAUGUCUAAUAGGCAUUUCAGCCUCAAUAUGUCUAAAACUCAACUCCUUCCUCGCCUCCAAUCCUUCUUGCCCCUGGGACUUCCCCAGCUCGGUUAAUGGUGUCACCAUCCACCCAGCUGCUUUGACUAGAAGCACGUGGUUCCUCACUGUCUCUCACACCCCAUAUCCAAUCCAACAGUAAGUCCUUCUGGAUUUACCCCAAAAGGUGCCUCACAUCUGAGCCCUUCCCACUGUUCCUGUCACCUUGUUCCAGUACCUGAUUACUGCUCUUCUCAAUCUCCUGCCCUGUUUCCCCUAACCCAUGAUCUACAGUGCUCUAAAAGGAGAGAAAUUUAAAAACCAAAAAUCCAAUUUAACAAACUCUCCAGUGGUUUCCAUCAUACUUAAAAUAAGAUUCCAACUCCACAGGCACCAGUGGGCAUUGAUUUUGGGUUUAGUAAACAUUGGAUUUGGUAAAUAGAUGACUCAGCUAGAGAAAAAGGAAGCUGAGACCCUGACGAUUGCCUCCUCAAAAUAGACAGGUCCUAAAACCCAGGUUACCAUUGGAAUUAUUUUUGUAGUUGUGGCUUAGUUUAGGGCUAUUCCAGCCCAUGAAUGAGGUCUUGUUAGACAGUGGGACAGACUCUUGUCUAAACAGUCCUGUGAGAAAAUAGUCCUGCGGCCUGGUAAGUCUGCUACCUGCCCUCUCCCAUCAUCAGGCCUGUGCUCACCAGCUGGGGCCACUAAGUCCUUUGCAGGAUAAACUACAUUUAAAUUUCACAAUUUAGGCUCCCCACUAGCCCCCCACUGAUACCACCCUGGAUGGCUUGCCUUGUUACUGUCCCCUGCGUGGCUGCCACUGACCAUGAGGAACAUGGCCUCGUUAUGGCUGAGCUAUGGUGAAAGCCCUGACUCUCCCCUGGGAUCCUGCCACCACCUCAGUGAGGAGGGGGAGAGCUGCCUUGUUAUUGCAGGUGGGGGUGGAAGUCCGGGUGCCCCGCACGGUCUCCACUGACACAGGAGGGAGGUGUGGGGGUAUAGGAAGAGAGGCUUGUCACUGCCCAGUGGGUUAAAAGUCUUUGCACCUGAUUCAGCCUUCUCUGACAGCACCCGGGCGACAGGGUUGGGGCCUUGUUACACUUUGGUGAGGGUGGAAGUCUAGGCCAUUGAACCUUUGCUGGCAGAGGCGUUUGGGGGCUCAGUUUCUUCUGUGGUGUCUGGCUGGAGUAGAGUGUUAUUGUCUAACAGCUCCCUGUCUUGAUGGGCUGUCCCUGUCCUGGCCCUUUGACUAGGGAGAGAGGCUUUUCUUGCAGGUUAUUUCUGUCUGUGCCCAUUGGUAUUUCUGGAUUGACGAAACACGCAGAUGUCCACUACAGAGUUAGAAGCUUGCUCGUGAUGGAGCUGGGGCCCAGAUGCUGGAACUCGCUUUCAACAUGGUUCUAAUCCUCACCUAAAGGUGUUGAAAAAGAAGUAUAUUAGAGGCCCCCAAAGACACUUAAGAGCAGAAGACUGCCCUCGUUACCAGGUGUAUUCAGAAAGGUUUCAUGAACUCUAGUCUUCAGGGUGUCUACACAACAGGGCUCCUGGCAGUGAUCAUGGCCCACACAGCAGGAUUCUGACCACAGAUUAAUUUUGAGAAGAGCAAGACUAUAAAAGGAAACCUCCAAGAACCUUCCAGGGGUGCCCUAGAGUAAGUUGUGAUGCUGGACAAGCAAUGCUCAAAAGAAGACGGCACUGAGCUUAGCUGCCGUUCUAAAAUUUUAAAAACAUUUCUGAAAAAAAAAAAAACCCAAACAAAACCGGUUGUAUACUGAGGCAGUUGCCCCAGUUCCACCAGCCAUGUUUUGCCUCAGAACACUCCAGCAACACUCUUGUCACCCCUAAGCCCUUUAUCCUCAGGAGAGGGCUAUUCCUUCAGCAGAGCAGCCACCCCUCACAGACAUGGCUGUGGUCCCACAUUAACGCUCCAAGUUGACACUUUGUUGAGUUGUCAGCUGGCAGUCAAGCUGCUGAAUCCUCCACUUGGGGGUCCUCAGCGUUUCUUUUUCUAGAGUCCGACUUUUGGGUGGUGUGGACUGUGCUUCACACAAUCAGGUAAACCCUUUUAGCUUUAACUUUUAAAAUCAGGUAAGUGGCAGUCCUAGAGUUGAGAAAUUGACUGUGAAUGUAAUACGUUUCCCCCUCUCUACUUUGGGAAUGAAUUCUGGGAGGCUGGCUAUUUAAAGAUAGACUGUUGGGGUCUUUGGAACUGUCAAUAGGAAGCUGUCAUUUAAAGAUAAUCUCUUCUGAUUGGACUUGGAAGGUUUUAGUGGAACUUAAAUUUCACUAAGGCUAUUUGUCCAGUUGUGUCUGAAACCUACUACGCAAAUCCCAGGUAGCAGGCGUGGCAAUUCCAGGAAGAUGAUCCAAGUGCACACUCUAUGGAAGUCCCAGUAGCGAUGUUCUCAGGGAGACUUGGUCUAGCUGAGCAGAUAGGACCUCAAGGUAUGAAAAGCUGAAUGAUGAUAAAGGAUUUAAAUAGUUUGAAACCAAUGGGUGCCACGUGAUUGACUGGUUGAUGACUUGUACAUGUUACACUUUGCAGGAAGGAGAGAACGCUUUCCAGUCUGGAGAAGCUGGACUUUGAGCUGGUGCAGGGAGGAAACGAGGGUGGGAUUUGGAAACCUGGAGGGCCAGAGGAGGCAGCCCGGAUAUGCGGGAGGCAUAUUUCCAGCAGAGGUAAAAGCGUGGAUGUUGGAACCUGCCCGGGGCCCUCUCAGGCAGUGAGAAGACCAAUCUGACCAGGGCAGUGGGUCAGGUCAACUGAGCCAAGGAGAGAAGUGGGGGCUGGGUUGUGGAGAGCUUUGAAAAUUGGUUGGCUUUAAUAAUCAGUUGAUACUUAUUGAUCACUUACUGGGAGCCAUGCAAUGUUCUAAGCCUUUCACAUGUGUUUUAAUUCUCAUAUUGUUGUUGUUAUUGUCAACACCUUUCUGUAGCUGAGGAAACUGAGAAGCAGGAUGCUUAAGUGACUUGCUCAGUCAGAGUAAGAGCGAGGAGCAGGGUGUGAACCCAGGCCAGCUCUGCUCUACUGGCUCUGGUUAGGGUUAAGCAGUUUAACUGGCCCUGUUGACAAAUCUGGCACAUGGCUUCUCAGCGAGGGCCAGGUUAGUAUUGGCUUACGGUGAAUAUGUACCUCGGAGUGCUAUUGGAUGCCCAGACUUUUCCUGCGACGGCACUUGCAUCUCGUCCUGGGGGAUCCUGGAAAGGCAUUUACCAAGUGUCCCAGUCAUCUAAGUCCAGGCACAGCGGGAAGAGUGAGAUGCGUUAACUCCCCCUAAGUGAUUUUGGAGGUGAAGGGCUCUGAUCUAGUUGUGUGGAAUCUCACACUGAGCCCAAACAAGCCUGUCUGUGUCCCACCAGUGGGGUUGCGGCAUCAACUAGGUGAAUCACAUUCAUUUGUUCUGUCAUUUGUUCACUCAGCGAGCAUUAGUUGAGUGCCGUACACGUGUCAGGAGCUGAGCAGGAUGUGAGGAAUACAGGCAAACUACCCUCAGGUAGAUUAACUUUAAUUAAUGAGAUGAUUUCAGAUGGCUGUGUGAUGUCAGUGGAACAGAGUGAUGUCAUAAGGAGUCAAAUAGGUGGUGGGGAGAGGCCUGAGCUCAUGACAUGCAGGAUGGACCUGAAGGAUUCAAGGGAGAUGGCAAGGGGAAGAACAGGGCAGACAGUCUCAGCAGAAGCAACAGGAAGAGCAAAGCCCCUGUGGGGAGAAUGAGCCUGAUGAGUUGGGGAAAAAAAGGCCAGGGUGGUGGAGAAGACAAGUGGGGAAGAGCAACAGGACAUGGAAGCUCUGAGGGGGUGUGGUCAGCCAGGGCCUGGUAGAGUUUGUGGUAAGGAGUGUGGACUUUAUCCCAUACGUGAGGGGAAGUCACUGAGAUUUUCAAUCCCAGGAACAAGAAGACUCACUUAAUUAGCAUGUGUCUAGAGGGGUUUAAACAAAUUUUGUCCAAUUGCCCUCCUGGUGCAAGUCCCUGGUGACACAUAUCUGUUGUUACAGGCAGUGGUUGGGUAGGAGGUGGGGGCACUUCCAUGAAGAGCCCUCUAAGGCAGGACAGAGAGUAGGGAGCCCUGACUGAGAAGACCAGAGAAACCAGGAUUCUGAGGGAGCAGCUCUUGGAAAUAGCAGAUGAGGCCUCUUGUAGUUUUUUGACACACUUCACAUGGGGAGGCGGGAUCCAUGUCCCCAUCUCUUGAAUCUGGGCACGUCUGUGACUGGAUAGAGUGUAGUAGAGUGACGCUACGAGACUUCUGAGGCUGGGUCAUAAAAAUCAAUGCAGCUGGAACAUGCACUCUCGGAGCCCUGAGCUGUCAUGCAGGAGUCAGGAUUUCCUGAGUCAGCCAUGCUGGGGAGGCCACAUGGGCUAGCAACAGUCCCAAGCUGAGCCUUGUGUUUCAACUAUUUCUGCCAAGGUGCAGGAGAGUGAAGCCAUCCGCUAGUUGAGUACCACUGAGUAACUUUCAUGGCUGUCUCACAAGACAGAAGAAUCGUUCUGCUGAGCCCUACCCAAAUUCCUGCCAAUAAAACCUUACCGGUAAAAUCAUGAGAUACAACAAAAUAACCACUUGUUUAAAGCCACUAAAUUUGGGGGUAGUUUAUUAAGGAGCAAUAGUAACUGGAAUGAGGUCCUGUUGCUACUGGCCCUGCCACUCUUCUUCACCCCAGCCUGAGGGAGGAGAUCUCCUUGAGGAAGCCUGGAGAAUAUGAUCCUUUGUUACAUUCAACGCCAAGGAGAUAGACUCUCCCACCCGUUACUUGGAAACAGAGUGUUGUGGAGGCGGGGAUUGGCUAGCCAACUCAGCUGCCAGAUUUACCUGCAAGUUGAGAUCCUCAGAUAAAUUGCCAUUUUAGGUCCCUUACUAUAAACCGGCAUUCCAUCCAGAAGACCAGCUUCUUCAACCAUGGCUGACAUGCGGGUUAUGGCCAGUGCCCAGAGGAGGGCAGUGGUGUGCCCCAUGGCCAGCAGCUAGCAGGGAGGGCCAUCAUACACGUUUCUUGGGGUCGUUUCUCAGGGACUUUCCACGAAAACAUAGAGUGUUUCAAAGACCCUCAGCUACCUUUGGAGGCAAAUGCCUUAGGCCACAAAUCACCAACUGCAGAAUGCUCACUCCAGAGGUGCUGCAAGACCCUAGUUGGUUCCGGCUUCUGUGUCAUCUUGUUUUUGAGAACUGAUUCCAUUCUGAGACAAAACACAUGAGUCUUGUUUCCAAAUAAAAGAAAUCAAAAUUCAUAGCCUUUCCUCAUAAUGAAAGUUUGAGAAAAGGAAAAGCUGCGUUGGUCCCAGGCAGGGUUGGGUGAUCUCUGGUUUGGCAUCUUUUCUGUAAGUCACAAAACGAAUUUAUAAAUGAGUGCUUAAGAAAACCCCAAAACAAAAGAGAAAAACUUCUUUGGCAAAACGAGAGUGGGAGUGGAGCUGUCUCGCUCUGGGGCAGCCUCUUAGAGGAUCCCAUGCGCGAUUCCCAGCGGCAAUGGGAACUGAGUUUCCUUCAUUUCAUCUAUGUUUUAUAAUUGGCUCUUAAAUUGGCCAUGGGAUCUUAUCCUCAUUUCCAAAGAUGAGGGGCCCUGCCCUCGCCCAAAGGCAGGAAGGCGAGCCAGAAGUCAGAGCUGAAUGGAGUUCCCUGUGGCUCUUCCUCCUGGCAAGUGGUUAAGAACCAUGGGAGACCCUUCGGCCCUCCUCAAACCCCGAGUUCCACAGUCACUGCAGGUGACUGCAGCGUCUCUCAGAGAAGAACAGGAAGUACAAACAGGUAGAGACUGACAAUGGGGAUUCAUUGACUACCUUUGGUCUUUUUCCUUUUAAUCUCUCUUAUACUUUAUUAGUUAUUGUUAAAUACUUUUGGGAGCAUAUUUGAGUUUGGCUAUUAAACUAGCUUUUCAAGAAUAUUCAUAUAUAAAGUGUGUGCAUGUAUUACUAUUAUUUUUAUCUCAAUUUUCUGCUGCUUGCUAAUUCCAAGUUGGAAUUCUUUAUUUGGUAAUUAGCAAAGUGUCGAUACUAAGAGGAUUUUAUGGAAUUAAAAAAAAUUGAAACCAAUAACAUGGAUUUCCCAAUUCUUGA